CCUACGGGGGGCAGCAGUGGGGAAUAUUGGACAAUGGGCGAAAGCCUGAUCCAGCCAUGCCGCGUGUGUGAAGAAGGCCUUCGGGUUGUAAAGCACUUUCAGUGGGGAAGAAAGCCUUGGGGCUAAUACCCUCGAGGAAGGACAUCACCCACAGAAGAAGCACCGGCUAACUCCGUGCCAGCAGCCGCGGUAAUACGGAGGGUGCGAGCGUGAAUCGGAAUUACUGGGCGUAAAGCGCGCGUAGGCGGUCUGAUAAGCCGGUUGUGAAAGCCCCGGGCUCAACCUGGGAACGGCAUCCGGAACUGUCAGGCUAGAGUGCAGGAGAGGGAGGUAGAAUUCCAGGUGUAGCGGUGAAAUGCGUAGAGAUCGGGAGGAAUACCAGUGGCGAAGGCGGCCUUCUGGACUGACACUGACGCUGAGGUGCGAAAGCGUGGGUAGCAAACAGGAUUAGAUACCCUGGUAGUC
rnacentral:rRNA from 1 species